rnacentral:rRNA from 1 species
UACGUAGGGUGCAAGCGUUAAUCGGAAUUACUGGGCGUAAAGCGUGCGCAGGCGGUUGUGUAAGACAGAUGUGAAAUCCCCGGGCUCAACCUGGGAACUGCGUUUGUGACUGUAUGACUAGAGUACGGUAGAGAGGGGUGGAAUUCCUGGUGUAGCAGUGAAAUGCGUAGAUAUCAGGAGGAACAUCGAUGGCGAAGGCAGCCCCUUGGACCUGUACUGACGCUCAUGCACGAAAGCGUGGGGAGCAAACAGG